GACGAACGCUGGCGGCGUGCUUAACACAUGCAAGUCGAACGGAAAGGCCCUGCUUUUGUGGGGUGCUCGAGUGGCGAACGGGUGAGUAACACGUGAGUAACCUGCCCUUGACUUUGGGAUAACUUCAGGAAACUGGGGCUAAUACCGGAUAGGAGCUCCUGCUGCAUGGUGGGGGUUGGAAAGUUUCGGCGGUUGGGGAUGGACUCGCGGCUUAUCAGCUUGUUGGUGGGGUAGUGGCUUACCAAGGCUUUGACGGGUAGCCGGCCUGGGAGGUGGACCGGCCACAUUGGGACUGAGAGACGGCCCAGACUGCUACGGGAGGCAGUAGUGGGGAAUAUUGCACAAUGGGCGGAAGCCUGAUGCAGCAACGCCGCGUGCGGGAUGACGGCCUUCGGGUGGUAAACCGCUUUCGCCUGUGACGAAGCGUGAGUGACGGUAAUGGGUAAAGAAGCACCGGCUAACUACGUG
rnacentral:rRNA from 1 species